rnacentral:tRNA from 1 species
UAGGCCAAACCCUAAAGGGAAUCCUCUUGAUAGGGGGAAUUUAAUUAGCCUAC